UACGGUCAAAUCAUUUAAAAAAACACCGGUUCUCGUUCGAUCACCGAAGUUAAGCAUCGUAGAGCCAGGUCAGUACUUAGAUGGGGGACCGCUUGGGAACACCUGGUACUGUAAGC